GCCAGGCAUGGUGGCGUGCGCCUGUAGUCCCAGCUACUCAGGAGCCUGAGGCACAAGAAUUGCUUGAACCUGGGAGUCGGAGGUUGCAGUGAGCCGAGAUCACACCACUGCACUCCAGCCUGGGUGACAGAGUGAGACUCUGUCUCAAAAAAAAAAAAAUGUGUUCAACCUUUUUUUUUUUCUGAGGCAGAGUCUCGCUCUGUCGCCCAGGCUGGAGUGCAGUGGCAUGAUCUCGGCUCACUGCAACCUCCACCUCCCAGGCUCAAGCGAUUCUCCUGCCUCAG
rnacentral:SRP_RNA from 1 species